AGGACUAACGCUGGCGGCGUGCCUAACACAUGCAAGUCGAACGAGGGGUAGCAAUACCCCUAGUGGCAGACGGGUGAGUAACACGUAGUCAACCUACCUCUUAAUGGGGGAUAACUAGCCGAAAGGUUAGCUAAUACCGCAUACGAUCGUCGAGUGGCAUCACACGACGAUGAAAGGAGCAAUCCGUUGAGAGAGGGGACUGCGUCCCAUUAGUUAGUUGGUGGGGUAAUGGCCUACCAAGACUCCGAUGGGUAGCUGGCUUGAGAGAGCGACCAGCCACACUGGAACUGAGACACGGUCCAGACUCCUACGGGAGGCAGCAGUGAGGAAUUUUCCGCAAUGGGGGAAACCCUGACGGAGCGACGCCGCGUGUGGGAAGAAGGCCUUCGGGUCGUAAACCACUGUCGAGGGGGACGAUAUUGACGGUACCCCUGGAGGAAGCCCGGCUAACUACGCGCCAGCAGCCGC
rnacentral:rRNA from 1 species